AACUGCGAGUGAAGCGGGAAAAGCUCAAAUUUAAAAUCUGGUGGUCUUUGGCCGUCCGAGUUGUAAUUUAGAGAAGCGUCUUCCGCGCCGGUCCGUGCACAAGUCUCCUGGAAUGGAGCGUCAUAGAGGGUGAGAAUCCCGUCUUUGGCACGGAUGCCCGGUGCUUCUGUGAUGCGCUCUCGAAGAGUCGAGUUGUUUGGGAAUGCAGCUCAAAAUGGGUGGUGAACUCCAUCUAAAGCUAAAUAUUGGCGAGAGACCGAUAGCGAACAAGUACCGUGAGGGAAAGAUGAAAAGCACUUUGGAAAGAGAGUGAAACAGUACGUGAAAUUGUUGAAAGGGAAACGCUUGAAGUCAGUCGCGUCGACCGAGACUCAGCCUUGCCUUGGCUUGGUGUACUUCUCGGGCCGACGGGUCAGCGUCAAUUUUGCUCCACGGAUAAUGGCAAGGGAAAGGUGGCACCUUCACGGGUGUGUUAUAGUCUCCUGUCGCAUGCGUGGGGUGGGAUUGAGGAACUCAGCGCGCACAUUGGUGUCGGGGCUUCU
rnacentral:rRNA from 1 species